rnacentral:pre_miRNA from 1 species
UCGCCGUCGGCGUCGGCGUAACCAAGGUCACGUGACCCCCAAGGUCACGUGACGCCUCCCAAGGUCAUCUCAAGGUCACGUGACCCCACGUGACCCCCUAAGGUCACGUGACCUUGGGGGUCACGUGACCUUGGUUACGCCGACGCCGACGGC